rnacentral:rRNA from 1 species
AUUGAACGCUAGCGGGCUGCUUUACACAUGCAGGUCGAACGAGUGGCGGACGGGUGAGUAAUAUAUCUGAACGUGGCCAGUAGCGGGGGAUAACUACUGGAAACGGUAGCUACUACCGAAUACUAUCGGAUGACCCCAUAUGUGAUUAGCUAUUAGGUGGGGUAAUGGCUCACCUAGGCGACGAUCCCUAGCUGUUCUGAGAGGAUGACCACGCAACCGGGAACUGAGACACGGUCCAAACUCCUACGGGAGGCAGCAGUGGGGAAUAUGGCAGAAUGGGCGCAAGCCUGAUGAAGCCAUGCCGCGUGUAUGAAGAAGUCCUUCGGGUUUUAAAGUACUUUCAGUGGUGAGGCGUUACCCGCAUAAGAAGCACCGGCUAACUCCGUGCCAGCAGCCGCGGUAAUUC